rnacentral:rRNA from 1 species
UGCUUGGGCGAGCACGAGAGUAGUACUAGGAUGGGUGACCCCCUGGGAAGUCCUCGUGUUGCACCCC